CUAAGACUCCAGAGAGACUCUCUGGAAGAUAUUCAAACAUUACUGACAAACAAGGCUGAAAAACACAGCUACUUCCUUUGCCAUUAGAUACCUGUUUCUCUGAAACGGGAGCAGUGAGACACCUGAUAGCCGUGGGAUGGAGCAGUGACCCCGUCAAGCAGCAGGCAAUGCAGGACUGGCUGUGCUGCCACAGUGAGUGCUGGGGACAUGGCUUCUGCCCACCUGAAGCCCUCCAUGGAGCUCUGGGUGCUGCAGGCUUGAGAACUUCAUCUCACAGUGUGACAGCAUGGGAAGAUCAGCUCUGAGCAGCUUCCAGCACCAGGAUGGAAAGCAAGGAUGGGUCAGUUCCCUUGGUGGCUGCCUUCACACAUGGAGCCUUGGGGAUGCUCUAGGAGUGGGCUCAGAGCAACGUUGAAGAAUCACCUGAGUCGGAAGAGACCUCUGAAGGCCAUCUGGUCCCACUCUCUGCAGUGCACAGGGCACCCACAGCUCCAUCACAGCUCACAGCCCAUCCCCUGACGUAAGCUGAGGAUAACGUAAGUGCCUACAGCAAGAAUUAUGAGAGAGGCAAAUAUUGUCUUAUCUGUACUACCGAUCUGUUAUCAUAGAAAUACUGCAAAUUAUUUAAAUGAGCACCUGUGAAACGUGUGAUGUGGGGUAAGAUUUGGGGUAGUGCAGGACUGUGCUCUGCCAGAGGGCUGCCGGGAUAGAUGGAGGCACAAUUAAUCUCACGGGUUCUGUGAGUCCAAAGAAAGACUUCUGGCUGCACCCCGACUGGCAGGAAGGCAGCCCAGGAGGAGCUGCAGCCCAAGGCUCUGUGCCUGCAUCUCCCACUGCCACGCAGAGCUGGCAGGAGGGGCUUUCCCUCUAGAAGCUGUCAGGCAGCUGUCAGCUCCUUGCUGCAGAGUCUCUUCCCUAUGUGAAAUGCAUACACCAUCAAUGUGAGGUGUAAAGCUGGCAUGGUCUGGAUACACAGCCACUGGCAAGCCCAGCAGAACAGUUCAUUGCUGUGCAGCAGCAGCUUUAAAUACCGAUUUUUGGUCUGACACUCAUAGCUUAAAAUAGAAUAUUUUUCUUAAAAAAGGGCCAACAUUACAGUGCACAUCUGUAAGCAACUACAGAAAGGUGGGACUGCAUCUAAGUGCUACGCUGUAUUGCAAUAACAUUCAAUUAUCUCGUUCAUAAUAUAAAUAACCCCAAUUUGCUUGUACUUUUUUUAUAAGGGCA
ensembl:lncRNA